UUCUGGAAUUGCUCUGCAUGUCGGGCUCCCUGCACUUUUGGUGCGGCCAACCGAACAUGGGGCUGUCUCUUCACUUUCCCCCCGUCAUGUAAUAUGCCGUGGUUGGGAAGCUUGCGAUCGGUUGCCUGUGCGGUUCUACCCACUUGUGGGUAGCGAAGUUGUCCCUUGAUGUACCUAUUUGCUUGCCAUUCUGACAUUUCUUGUCGAUUGGGCAGCCGAAGUGUUGGUGAAAUCCCUGUGCCGGUGUGAGGUCAUAUUCCCCGCUUCCGUCCCUUGGAUUUUUACCGGCUCUCAAGGAUGCGGUGCCUAGUGCUAGCUCUGCGGGUUGUUGCCCCGCAGACUUCGGGAGGUCCCCUGUACGAAUCGCUGCUUUUGCGCUCGUUUGUCGUGUUGCCGGUGGCGACACGCAGAUCGUGUUCCGUCGUGUUGUUAUUAAUGACGUGUUACGUUGUUGUUAACGGCGCGUCGCGUGCAGAAAGUGCGGAGCGUGAUCGCGUGCGGGYGGAAUGCCUCUCCGAUUGUCCGAGCAGCGAUUUCCGGUCCGUGUCACGCGAAGGCCCGCCCUCUCGGGUUGGUGCCGGAGCGGACGCGUCGGGUCUCGUUUAAGACGUGC
rnacentral:misc_RNA from 1 species